rnacentral:tRNA from 2 species
UGUUGGUGAAAGCCCUUCUUUUGCUA